AAGCACUUAACAUGCAAAGACCAAGCUAAUUAGGGAUUUCAUGUAUGACAACCUAUAAUGUUAUACCAGAUCUUUUGUGGGUGUGCAUUGCGGUGUGCAUUCGAGGUGGACAUUGUAUUGAGGUGCAUUCAACCUGGACAUAGUGCACCUAAGGAUCCUUAAAAUAAAUACAAAGGUGAAAUCCCUUUUUCCUUUCUAAGAGUGUUAGACUCUUGAUUUUAAGACCAAGAAAAGGCAUCAAUUUCAUUUGCAUGUUCCUUCUUUGUUCAAUGAGUUUUUAAAUAUUAAUUCCAUUAUCUUGGUUCUCAGCCAUAUUUAAUGGACUUUUCUGUGAGUUGUUCUAUUUUAAGUACCUAUUGCCAGUUCUCUUUUUUAAUGUAUCAUUUUUGAUUUUCCCCUUUUUGCUUCCUUUUACUAUGAAAUCAGAAUCUCUUCAGAUCUUAUAAUGUGCUGCUACAUUCUUACAUUUGUUACAAAUUGAGAAAGCAAUAUUAGAAUUAAAUAUGGUCUAAUCAACUCCAUAUAUUACUUCUCUCACCCAAGACUUUAGAGCUCUGUUCAGGUGGUCUUUACCUGCUCCUUUUUUUCCUCCAACAAUAUGUGCUAUUUCAAAAUCUUUUUAUUUAGUGGGAAGAGGCAGCUGUGAGACAAAAAACUAUCAAUCCAGCUGAUUCCUGAUUGCGCUUAAUUCAUAACUUGUUUCUGUAACUUGCUCAGUAGUGGAAAUGUCACAAAGAGUCAUGUUUGUUGUUCAUGUCAGCUAAAUCCAGUCUGCUCUCCACAUUCUUCAAGCUCCUCCAUGAAACACGUUCAUUCAGAAGAGUCUUUGCUGAAUGCUGUCAUUACUGUUCAACAACUCAAAUACUGAGGUUUGAGUUCCUGGCUUUUAUAUCUCUUUUUCUUCAUUUGCUGAGUCCAUAAGAAUCAAAGAUGAGAAAGGGGUGGCUCAUGGUAUAAAUACCGAAUUUAUAAGUAUUGUUUCUCUGUGUCCAUAGAAAUUGCCAUCUCCAUCCAUUCUGCUAUUUCAGGACUGGCUUCCUUUGAGCUACGUUCCUCCCACACCUGACGUUCCUGCUGGCUUGGGAUCCAAGUCUGCACUUCAGACUAUGUUUGUCAAGAAAAUUCCUUCACAGACAAGUGGCAAGAAAAACACGCUAUAUGCAGGAUCAAGAUGCUCACAAUUGUGUCUACCUUUCAAGGAGUCUGACUCCACAUUCCCUACCCACUGAUGUUCCACAUGUUUUGUGCUGUGUUGUUGCCAGUGCUCUGUGGGUGUUUGGACUCUGGUAAUCCUCUGGAUUAAAUAAAUGCCUCAUCAUUCACCUAUUAUAUCUGACAUGUUCUUGAAUGCUGCAUUGCAUCAGGUCCAGUAUUUAGAUCUGCCUGCUUUCAGACUCAGAGAGAGUCAUUUUGACUAACUGUAGGAAUCUUUCAGGUAGCAUGAAACAUUUAUGCUAUUCAUACUCUUGUUCUGCUGUGCUGCACAUUCCUUUGUGCUUUUCUUAGUAAGUGCUAAACACAAGUUAUUGAUUAAGAACUUCUGCUUCUCCAUCUUUACUUAUUUCUCCCCUGACAACAUGGUCUCAAGAUGUAGGAAAUAUUGGUCUGAACUCCUGUUGUCUUAAAGGUUUCUACAAUAACCAGAAUUUCUGGCUCUGAGCCACUUUAUGAACCCACAAGGCUCAUAUAUAUAUGCAUAUAUAUAUAUAUAUAAAGACCAGCAUUCAUUGAAAUAGCCUAUUUAACUCAUGCUUACUGUCCUUAAAGAGAUUAAUCUUUUGCUAAAAGUGUAGCUACAUGAUUAUAUUUCUUUAAAACAUUACGUUUUUUUUAACCUCCCUGGUAUUCCUCCAGUUCAAAGUGAACUUCACAUUGGCUGAUCUUUUCAUUAGCUUUUGUCAUACAUGAAAAAAUACAAGCAAAUGCUUGUUCACUUCAUGGUCCUUGAAUAAACAGAGUAUCUGUUGCUUCAUCAAAAACACCAGAGUAGCAGCAUCCUUCUGAAGUGACAAGCCUUGAUUUUUGUGCUAACCAAUCACUAUAAGAAAAGGCAGGAAUGAGCUCUUUAAAAUUCCUGGGAGUUUCAAAAACAAGCUGUUGCUUCAAACAGGGCAAGUUGAUUGACUUCCACGACUUUGAAUUACUAUAUCUGAUACUCCCUGAUACUGAGCAGGAGUACAAGUGCUGAUCAGACUGCAGUGUCAAAUCUGUUCCAGGGUCUACACAGACCCUCAGCUGCUACAGUUCAUUACACUGACUAAUUAUACCCCUUCCAAUAAUUUCUUCUUGGUUCAGUAGGUGGAGCUGUAAGACGUUCAGAUUUUCCCUUGGCCAAGGUGUGCCGUGGCUGGUGCACUGACAAGCACAGCUUUCGCUUCCCAGCACUGCGCAUAUUUAUCCCUUUUAUACAAGUUGGCAUUUUGCAUCAUAUUGAAAUGGCACAUAAAAAGGAAAUUCAAGUUCUGCACUCAUUCUGCUAGUUGAGAAAAGCAAUCAGUCUCUGUUUCUAAUAUGCAGUCAUCGGUUCUUUGAUGGCUGUUUUCUACUGUUCAAAAGAACACAAAACAUGUGUAGGCUCAAUUUUAAUAUUUUGGGCUUUGGGGAAAAAUAAUCUCUAACAUAGUACAUUUUGCUUAUUUUGCUAGUUACUGGUUUGAAACAGACUCUUUGGAACAAUUGAGAACUCAUGAAAUCAUCUCAUUAAUUUUUUUCAAUUUUAGAAUCAUAUCAAAUCCACUGACAAAAUUUUCAUGUUCUCGAGUAGUUUACUCUUUAUAUUGCCAAUGAAAGCUUUUUAAAUAAAAGGACACUAUUAAAUAAA